GAUGAACGCUGGCGGCGUGCCUAAUACAUGCAAGUCGAGCGAACGGACGAGAAGCUUGCUUCUCUGAUGUUAGCGGCGGACGGGUGAGUAACACGUGGAUAACCUACCUAUAAGACUGGGAUAACUUCGGGAAACCGUAGCUAAUACCGGAUAAUAUUUUGAACCGCAUGGUUCAAAAGUGAAAGACGGUCUUGCUGUCACUUAUAGAUGGAUCCGCGCUGCAUUAGCUAGUUGGUAAGGUAACGGCUUACCAAGGCAACGAUGCAUAGCCGACCUGAGGGGGUGAUCGGCCACACUGGAACUGAGACACGGUCCAGACUCCUACGGGAGGCAGCAGUAGGGAAUCUUCCGCAACGGGCGAAAGCCUGACGGAGCAACGCCGCGUGAGUGAUGAAGGUCUUCGGAUCGUAAAACUCUGUUAUUAGGGAAGAACAUAUGUGUAAGUAACUGUGCACAUCUUGACGGUACCUAAUCAGAAAGCCACGGCUAACUACGUG
rnacentral:rRNA from 1 species